rnacentral:ncRNA from 1 species
AGUGCCCCGUUUAAAGAACGGGGAUAAUAGGGAAUCGGGUGAAAAUCCCGAGCGAUCCGGUCACUGUAAACGGAGAGCGAGCCGCAAAACGCCAUUGCAAAAAGCGAGAAGGCGCGGAGAGCGUUGACCCGUAAGUCAGGAAACCUGCUGUAUGUG